CAAGCCAGAAGAGGUGCAUCGCCCAGGUAAGGUGUCAGAGGAACCGUUUUCCAAUGACGGCACUAGAGGGGGUGCGAUGCCGAGAUAGGAUGAUGCACGGCAAUCAUCGUAUCGGCUACAGGGGCUGAAUCCCCUGAGUUGUCACCAAGAUCACCCCUAUGGGGCGGUCAGCAAGGUGGAGCGCUCCUGGGUGU
rfam:Serratia symbiotica genome assembly, type strain CWBI-2.3T, contig: SYMBAF_Contig_15